AGGAUAAACGCUGGCGGCGUGCAUGAGACAUGCAAGUCAAACGGACGAUCGGGGUUCGCUCUGAUCGUUAGUGGCGGACGGCUGAGUAACGCGUAGGUGACCUGCCCCGAAGUGGGGAAUAACUGCCCGAAAGGGUGGCUAAUACCGCAUGUGGUGGUGCGUUCGAUCGCACCAGUAAAGCCGCAAGGCGCUUCGGGAGGGGCCCGCGUCCGAUUAGCUCGUUGGUGAGGUAACGGCUCACCAAGGCGACGAUCGGUAGGUGGUCUGAGAGGACGAUCACCCAGACUGGGACUGAGACACGGCCCAGACUCCUACGGGAGGCAGCAGUCGGGAAUUUUGCGCAAUGGACGAAAGUCUGACGCAGCAACGCCGCGUGGGGGAUGAAGGCCUUCGGGUCGUAAACCCCUUUCAGGAGGGACGAAAAUGACGGUACCUCCAGAAGAAGCCCCGGCCAACUACGUGCCAGCAGCCGC
rnacentral:rRNA from 1 species